UACGUAGGGGGCUAGCGUUGUCCGGAAUCAUUGGGCGUAAAGCGCGUGUAGGCGGUCCGGUAAGUCCGCUGUGAAAGUCGGGGGCUCAACCCUCGGAUGCCGGUGGAUACUGUCGGGCUUGAGUACGGAAGAGGCGAGUGGAAUUCCUGGUGUAGCGGUGAAAUGCGCAGAUAUCAGGAGGAACACCGGUGGCGAAGGCGGCGUCCUGGACCAACACUGACACUGAGGAGCGAAAGCCAGGGGAGCAAACGGG
rnacentral:rRNA from 1 species